GUAGGUGGCAAGCGUUGUCCGGAAUUAUUGGGCGUAAAGCGCGCGCAGGUGGUUCUUUAAGUCUGAUGUGAAAGCCCCCGGCUCAACCGGGGAGGGUCAUUGGAAACUGGGGAACUUGAGUGCAGGAGAGGAAAGUGGAAUUCCACGUGUAGCGGUGAAAUGCGUAGAUAUGUGGAGGAACACCAGUGGCGAAGGCGACUUUCUGGCCUGUAACUGACACUGAGGCGCGAAAGCGUGGGGAGCAAACAGGGAUUAGAUACCCUGGUAGUCCACGCCGUAAACGAUGAGUGCUAAGUGUUGGGGGGGGUUCCCCGCCCCCUCAGUGCUGCAGCUAACGCAUUAAGCACUCCGCCUGGGAGUACGGUCGCAAGACUG
rnacentral:rRNA from 1 species